rnacentral:lncRNA from 1 species
UCUCAUUAAUAAAAUUUUAUCGUUUCUUCCUAUAAAUAAAUAUUUAUACCAUCAUUUGUCAUUAUUAACGUGCAACGUACGUUUAUAGAUACUAGUCUUUCAAAAAAAGGAUAAGGCAUGUUAAGUAGAUUUAUGAGAUUUAUUCGUUUUAGGGCUCUUUUUCCCAUCCUUCAAGAAAGAAGUCCUAAUAAAUUAAAAAUUUAGAAUAAAAUACUAACAGUUAAUACACUAUUCAGUGGAGCAAAUCUAUUCAAAAUAUAACCUCUCAGAGCAUGGUUAUCAACAGAGGCCUUUGCUAAUAGAAAAUAGAGAUCAAACAGCAGGCUGAUUCUGUAGAAUCAGAGGCGCCUGGUCUUUCCUCUAACAAAUUUCAUAAAUAGGCAUAAGAUGUGGUGGACUUGGAAUUAUAUUCACAUUAAUACGCUAUCAUAAAAUAUCAAUGAUAUGGAAGCAGUAUAGUAUAAAUUGACACCAGGUAGCCACUCUAAAGGGCUAAUUAAGAAUUAGCUAGUGCGUCCUGAAUUUUAGUUUAUCAGUUCAUUUUUUCGGGACAAAAAUGUCCUAAGUUGUUCUGAACUUAAGAUUUUUAGUUUAAAAUUUCAAGACAAAAUAAAGUACUGGCUAAUUACUAAAUAGCAUCCCUGAAAAUGGCUAUCCGUGCACUUGCAAAAACCGAGACUGAGAAUAUAUAACCCAAAAAUUUCCUUAUUAGGAGAAACAAUAUGAAAACUACUUGCCUUUAACUUCCCAUCAUCAGAGAAUAUGCAUUUGGAUGUCAUGGCACGUCCGUUUUCGAACAGCCACCCAACUUCACAGCAAGUCUCGCCACCUGCAAUGUCUUUCAAACAACACCAGAGUUGCCUUGGGAGCAAAACAAGAUCUAAUUCAUCUCUUACUGU